GUCCCUGUGGCGCAAAGAAAGCGCGUUGGACUUCUAAUCCAAAGGUCGUGGUUUCGAAUACCACCUGGGAUG